UUCUUCAUAGGAAUGCUUAAUUCUUUGGUCCAUGUCUUCAUGUACGUGUAUUAUGGACUGGCCAGGCCGUGGCUUCCUAUGUGGCCCUACCUCUGGUGGAAACGAUGUCUUAUCACCCUACAGCUGGGUCAGUUUGUGGCCACUGCUGCCUCCUCUUCCUACAGUCUCCUCAUCGAGUACCCCUUCCCUGAUGAGUUCAACAUGUCUGUGCUCCUGUAAGCCCUCAGCCUCCUCAUUCUGUUCCUCAGCUCCUACCACAAGGCAUGCCUGAGGGGCAAGCAAGAGAGGCUGAACUAGGAGUAGGACCCAGGGACUGAAGCCAGCACAGCGUCCCUACAGAGAAUUGGGCGGAAGGUAGCAUGGCUUCCAGCUUACUGGUGCUGAGCAGAUUUCUCUGGGUCUCCAUUGUAUCCUCUGAAGGAAGAAUGAGGAUUGCCUUCUGUCCAGACCUCAGGAUCAAAGAAAUAUAUCCAACUUCCUGUGGUCACUUCCUUUAGAGCGCUUCUCAUGUGGCUUUGUAGCUUUGUGUGCAUCUCCUUCCUCUAUUAGACCUAAGCCCCUCUCGGGAGGGACUCUCGUAUUCUCAAUGUUCCCCAUACCUGGUACAGCAUCUCAAUAAAUGUGUGUUUGGAUCCUUGGA